AAUAGCCCUACUUCUAAGCAUCGUCAUGAGAGUCUUCUUGAUUUUGUUCCUAAUCGCUAUGGCCUUAGACGAGAUUAAAUUUGAUAAAAAAGUAAAGCUAAAAAUAAAGAGCUAAAAUCAACUCUGGCCUUUAGACCGUAUACCUCAUUUUGCGGUUGAUGAAAAUGGUGGUACAUGCGGACUGCAGCCGUAAGUGAGCAAAUUUGCCACGUAAGCUUGAAAAAAUAAAACAGCUUGUCAAAAAUAUAUAAAUCAAUCUCAA